GUACUACUCCCUCCGUUCCAAAAUAGAUGACCCAACUUUGUACUAACUUUAGUACAAACUUAAUACAAAGUUGGGUCAUCUAUUUUGGAACGGAGGGAGUACAAA
rnacentral:pre_miRNA from 1 species